AUUACCGAGUUUACAACUCCCAAACCCAAUGUGAACGUUACCAAACUGUUGCCUCGGCGGGAUCUCUGCCCCGGGUGCGUCGCAGCCCCGGACCAAGGCGCCCGCCGGAGGACCAACCAAAACUCUUUUUGUAUACCCCCUCGCGGGUUUUUUUAUAAUCUGAGCCUUCUCGGCGCCUCUCGUAGGCGUUUCGAAAAUGAAUCAAAACUUUCAACAACGGAUCUCUUGGUUCUGGCAUCGAUGAAGAACGCAGCGAAAUGCGAUAAGUAAUGUGAAUUGCAGAAUUCAGUGAAUCAUCGAAUCUUUGAACGCACAUUGCGCCCGCCAGUAUUCUGGCGGGCAUGCCUGUCCGAGCGUCAUUUCAACCCUCGAACCCCUCCGGGGGGUCGGCGUUGGGGAUCGGCCCUCCCUUAGCGGGUGGCCGUCUCCGAAAUACAGUGGCGGUCUCGCCGCAGCCUCUCCUGCGCAGUAGUUUGCACACUCGCAUCGGGAGCGCGGCGCGUCCACAGCCGUUAAACACCCAACUUCUGAAAUGUUGACCUCGGAUCAGG
rnacentral:rRNA from 1 species